rnacentral:rRNA from 1 species
UACGUAGGGGGCAAGCGUUGUCCGGAAUCAUUGGGCGUAAAGCGCGUGUAGGCGGCCCGAUAAGUCCGCUGUGAAAGUCCAGGGCUCAACCCUGGGAUGCCGGUGGAUACUGUCGGGCUCGAGUCCGGAAGAGGAGUGUGGAAUUCCUGGUGUAGCGGUGAAAUGCGCAGAUAUCAGGAGGAACACCCGUGGCUAAGGCGGCUCUCUGGGACGGUACUGACGCUGAGACGCGAAAGCGUGGGGAGCGAACAGG